UCCUUUUUGAUUUAUUAUAAUUCUGGUCUAGAAGCGGUGAAAGAUAACAUGAGAACAUUCAUAGAUGAGAUCAUUGAAUACCUCGAGACAUAGGAGCAGAAAGUUCUUAGGCUGUUCUUUGCCUUUCGCACCCUGUUUUGGUACCUCAUCCCACUAAGACCAAAGUCAGUCUCCAAGGCUGAAAAGCUGCUCCAGAUCAUUGGGACAUUCCAAGUCAAAUCCCAGGACCUGACAGAAAGGAGGCGUGGAGAUGGAAGAUGGCUACCCCAAGACCCUCUCACCUUUGCUUCCGUGAUUCAUGACUACCUGUUGACGCUCUGACCCAUGAAUCCUGUCCUCUCUGCCAGAAGAAAGCUCAUUUCAGCUCUGAAGGAAAUUUGCCUCAGAGAUGUUGGCAGCAUGUUGUUUAUCUGGCUGAUCCCAUUGCUGUAUGCAAUCACAGAGAAGACAGAAGACCCCUUUCUUUUACAAGGCAUUCUUUCAAAAGCCUUUGUAGAACUGAGGAAUGAUGAAAAGAGGCAAAGGAGGGACUGAAAGGGAGAGAGCAUCGAGCCUGGAUCAGGGAAAGGUGUGAAGGAAUGCAAGAGCUGUCUGCAGGAGAUCAAUGACCCAGCAGAGCUGUUCUGAAGCCACAUUUUCUGCACUCAGUAUAUCCUGGAUUGGGCAAACAAGCAGUACAAGAUCUGCAAGAAGGAAUAUCCAGAGGAUUACAUACCCACAGCUUCAGAGGCCACGGGGUAUCCUGGCACUGGUAAAUGAUGUUCAUCUCAGUCUCUUCCACUUCAUG
rnacentral:lncRNA from 1 species